UACAUUAUUCAUACAAUGAAUCAGAUGCAGAAUCUUACAACUAUGUUAAUUUGUUCACCUGAUUGGGGAAAACCUGAGUCUAUUUGAUCUAUAUAUUGGAAUGCCUACCAAUUUUACAUAGCCUCAGGCAAACGUUUAUAUAAUUAAUCUUGAGUAAUAGAGAUGCUGUACCCCCUGACGGAGUGACCCUACUACCUGGAUCAUCCCACUAGGCAAGACAAGUUCAAAACUUUCCAUGCAAACACUUGCAUGGCAGUUGCUAUAAUAGGAUAUGAAUAUAAUUUUGCCUUGCCAAGGUGGCUGGGAUUUCCCUAGUACCCGGAGACCAUAUAAACAGGCCUUCAGAUUACUGUAAUAGUUUAAUUGCCCCCCCCCCCCAAUGCAAUUAAAAGUGGUAGGCCUACUCCUCAAAUCCAGCCCCCCUUUGAAGAUGUGCUGUAAAGGUAGACAAUUUUACUUGUUAACCCAUUAAGUCGCAUUGCGCAUUUGCGCCCAACUUUAUUAUUUUACUCUAACACCAGACGAUCCAGUUAAUUUAAUUAACCCAUUGAGGUGCAUUGUGCCCUGAUGCACCCUACUUUAUUAUUUUACUCUGUCUUACUUGUCAAGAGGAGAGCACACUUUAACAGGGAAAGGAUUAAUUGAGAAUAUUUUCUCUUCUAAUGGGAAAACUCUUUAUCAUAAUAAAAGGAACAAAUGAAUGCAAUUAUUCAUAGUAUUUAACUUUUCAUAUAAAGCAAAGAUUGUAAGAGGAAACAUGGAUCAUUGGCUACUUUUUUUUAGUAUUAAUUUUCAUUAUAGCAUGUGGGGUUAACUAUAAAGGAAACAGUUAUUGCCUAUUUUGGAAUAAAAAAUUUAGAAUAUUCAUUGACAUUGAAC